rnacentral:rRNA from 1 species
AUACCUGCAGCUCAAGUGGUGACCGCUAUUAUUGGGCCUAAAACGUUCGUAGCCGGCUGAGUAAAUGCUUGGGUAAAUCGUGCCGCUUAACGGUACGAAUUCCGGGUAGACUGCUCAGCUUGAGACCGGGAGAAGCUAGAGGUACUCCUGGGGUAGAGGUGAAAUUCUGUAAUCCUGGGGGGACCACCAGUGGCGAAGGCGUCUAGCUAGAACGGGUCUGACGGUGAGGGACGAAACCCUGGGGCGCAAACCGGAUUAGAUACCCGGGUAGUCCAGGGCGCAAACGCUGCUUGCUUGAUGUUAGCUGGGCUCCGGGCUCAGCUAGUGUCGGAGAGAAGUUGUUAAGCAAGCUGCCUGGGAAGUACGAUCGCAAGAUUGAA